UACGAAGGGGGCUAGCGUUGUUCGGAAUCACUGGGCGUAAAGGGCGCGUAGGCGGCCGAUCAAGUCGGGGGUGAAAGCCUGUGGCUCAACCACAGAAUUGCCUUCGAUACUGUUUGGCUUGAGACCGGAAGAGGUUAGUGGAACUGCGAGUGUAGAGGUGAAAUUCGUAGAUAUUCGCAAGAACACCAGUGGCGAAGGCGGCUGACUGGUCCGGUUCUGACGCUGAGGCGCGAAAAGCGUGGGG
rnacentral:rRNA from 1 species